ACAAACUAAAGCCGAACGCCUACAAGACUGUUAUACGUUCUUCGAAGGUAUGAAGCCCUAUAACGAAAGUGGCUUUAUUUCUCCUGACCCCACGAAAGCUGAGAAACAAACCGGGAUUAGAUACCCCAUUAUGCUCAGUCGUAAACUUUGAUAGACCAUUACACCCACUAUCCGCCCGGGUACUACGAGCACUAGCUUGAAACCCAAAGGACUUGGCGGUGCUUAACAUCCACCUAGAGGAGCCUGUUCAAUAACCGUAAUCCCCGUUGAACCUCACCCUCCCUUGUCUUUCCCGCCUAUAUACCGCCGUCGUCAGCCUUACCCCUUUUGUAAGGAUCCUAGUAAGCACAAUUGGCACAGCCCCAGUCGUCAGGUCGAGGUGUAGCUAAUGAGAGGGAUGAGAUGGGCUACAUUUCCUAAACAAGGAAAUACGAACAAUUGUUCUGAAACGAACAUUAGAAGGAGGAUUUAGUAGUAAGUAGGAAGCAGAGAGUUCUACUGAAAUUGGCCAACUUAAGCGCGUACACACCGCCCGUCACUCUCCCCGAGCUACCUAAUUUAUCCCACACCUGCAAUUACAGGGGAGGCAAGUCGUAACAUGGUAAGUGUACCGGAAGGUGCACUUGGA
rnacentral:rRNA from 1 species